UACAGAGGGUGCGAGCGUUGUUCGGAAUUAUUGGGCGUAAAGGGCGCGUAGGCGGUGCGGUAAGUCACCUGUGAAAUCUCCUGGCUCAACUGGGAGCUUGCAGGCGAAACUGCCGUGCUGGAGUGUGGGAGAGGUGCGUGGAAUUCCUGGUGUAGCGGUGAAAUGCGUAGAUAUCAGGAGGAACACCGAUGGCGAAGGCAGGUCUCUGGGCUGACACUGACGCUGAGGAGCGAAAGCGUGGGGAGCGAACAGG
rnacentral:rRNA from 1 species